rnacentral:lncRNA from 1 species
UGAUUAAGGUUGUAAGUCAUCUUUGGUUCCUUCAGACUUUCUCAGCUAGUAUAGAUGUUAUUCGCAGGUGAUCCACUUUGGCGUUUUCAUUCAGUACACCCUGCAGGCAAUAGCCCCAAAGAAUAGUACUAGAGAGUGGUUAGAUAAUAAGUAAAAUUGAAAAAGUUCAGCAUCCCCUUCUUGACUCUAUAAAACUGAAUAAAUGCUCAUUAAAUAAAGCUCAAAGCAAAACAAAAUAUCAAUAAUACCUCCCCCCGACUUAAACAACAAUGUCUCAAGUGUAAUACAGUCUUAGAUUGGUGAAGAAAAUAAACAGGAAUGUAUAAAUUUAACAAGGAAAAACGGUAUAUCUUCCUUUGAUGUGAGUGCCGAUCAACACAGUUAAGUGGUGAUCAAUACUUGGGAUGCUCUGUCGACCGACACCGACAAGUUGUGGAUCGAUGCUGGAAUAUCAACUCGUGUUUCUCGGAUCGAUGUUGGUGUAGAAAGCAUUUAUCUUCCCAUUAAAAUCCACUGUCAACUUCUACUGACUCUCAAGAACCUGAUCAAGCCCCUUCUAUCUUGCUUUCUUGAGUUGCUAGUGGUGGAUUCUGGUAAGAAGAACUCCCAAAAGUUGUGUUGUUGUUGUUGUAGUUGUUGCAGUAGGACUUUUGGUACUGCGAACUCUGGUUGUAAUUAAUCCUCUGAUCAUUGCUAUGGAAGUUCAUGUUGUCACUCUGAUUCCCAGAUCUCUAAUUUUGAAAACCAGUACCACUGAUGAAGUUCACAUCCUCCUGGUCGCCUUUUUCAUUGUCGACAUCUACAGCUUCUACAACUUCUACAUCCUCUACAAAGCUAAAUUGUUUCUUGAGAAGCUUAUGGAC